GUGCCAGCAGCCGCGGUAAUACAGAGGGUGCGAGCGUUAAUCGGAAUUACUGGGCGUAAAGCGCACGUAGGUGGCGACGUAAGUCGGGUGUGAAAGCCCCGGGCUCAACCUGGGAAUUGCAUUCGAGACUGCAUUGCUGGAGUACGGAAGAGGAGGGCGGAAUUCCCGGUGUAGCGGUGAAAUGCGUAGAUAUCGGGAGGAACAUCAGUGGCGAAGGCGGCCCUCUGGUCCAGUACUGACACUCAAGUGCGAAAGCGUGGGGAGCAAACAGGAUUAGAAACCCCCGUAGUCC
rnacentral:rRNA from 1 species